rnacentral:piRNA from 1 species
UCAGAACAAUCUUGGGGUAUCUG